GGCCGAGCCACCUACAUUGUUGAGAGCCUGCUGGCCAAACCUCAUUGGCAAUAACAUGUUAAACUUGUGACGUAGGUGCAGUAUGAAGCUGUAUAUGGGAUUAUUCAUGAUAACUCUCAUCCACGUGUGUGUGUAGGGCUGCCGUUUGACAGUGUGACCACCUACAGCCAGAGUUACACACACUGGGACAACCCCUCCACACUGAGAGGCCCGCAGCGCAUCCUGCCUGAAGCCACACUCAACUGGUACAGUAGAUCACAUUCACAUACUGACACGGAUUGAAAGGAGGAUUCUGUUCAUAAUUACUUACCUAACGCCAUGGUGCACAGGCCAUGGGCGGCUCCUCUCAUUCGCACUCUGUUCUGGACAGUCUCCUCCAGCUCGUUCCACCCCAUGCCAGUUUUCUUUGCAUCUGUCUCAAGCUCCUGCAAUCUGUUCACUGCAAAAGAUAAGUGCAGACUACAACAGAGCAGAUUACAUAGUGAUUCACACAUACAGUGAUUCAUAGCAAUCCCCUUCACCCAGCAACCCAUUAACAGUCAAGUGGUGCUGCAGAGGUUAUGUCCAUCAUAUAGUCUGGCGUCUGUUAUAGCCAGAGGUAAAAGAGAUGUCACAAUAUACCCAGUUGGGGAGUUUUGUGGAAUUUUAGCAGCUCCACCGCUACUGCUUAUACCUGUCCUCCAGACCUUCAGAUCUGCAAACAUAGCUAGGUUAUCUACUCCCUAAAAAAAAUAUAAAAACAUAGCUAUGUUAUCUACCCCCUUAAAAAAAUAUAAAAAACAUAGCUAGGUUAUCUACCCCCUAAAAAAAACAAAAAAAACAUAGCUAGGUUGUCUACCCCCUAAAGAAAAUAUAAAAAACAUAGCUAAAUUAUCUACCCCCUUAAAAAAAUUCUAAAACAACAUAGCUAGGUUAGGGACAAGGGGAAGGACCGAAUUAUGACAGACUUUAAUAUGCUUCACCAUCCUAUCCUCUCCAUCCAUCCAGGAGGGCCUGGGUGUCAGAGUACCAGGGCCCUGAUCGCUAUGUCCCUGGGCAGAGGAAGCCCCCUAGUGGCCUGGAGAAGGAGCCCUGCACCGCUGAGUACCAGCCUGGUGCCCACACCGCAGACCAGACCCGAGGACAGAUCCACUCAGAGUAUCAGAGCCACUUCACCAAGAAGAACUUUCCUGGCCGGUCCAGACCCAAGACCAGCCCUGCGUACAGACAGAACAGAGACAACUGACCUGAACCAUCUUGCAGGAUUAGACCUGCAUGGUCUCUAUUCGAUGUUCAACCUGACAAAGGUUAAUAUAGAAAAAAAGGUAUUUUGA
rnacentral:lncRNA from 8 species